rnacentral:rRNA from 1 species
AUUGAACGCUGGUGGCAUGCCUUACACAUGCAAGUCGAACGGCAGCACGGGGCAACCUGGUGGCGAGUGGCGAACGGGUGAGUAAUGCAUCGGAACGUGCCAUUGAGUGGGGGAUAACGUAGCGAAAGUUGCGCUAAUACCGCAUAUUCUGUGAGCAGGAAAGCAGGGGACCGCAAGGCCUUGCGCUCUUUGAGCGGCCGAUGUCAGAUUAGCUAGUUGGUGAGGUAACGGCUUACCAAGGCGACGAUCUGUAGCGGGUCUGAGAGGAUGAUCCGCCACACUGGAACUGAGACACGGUCCAGACUCCUACGGGAGGCAGCAGUGGGGAAUUUUGGACAAUGGGCGCAAGCCUGAUCCAGCCAUGCCGCGUGAGUGAAGAAGGCCUUCGGGUUGU